GCUUACGGCCACACCUACCUCAGUACGCCCGAUCUCGUCUGAUCUCGGAAACAAAGCAGGGUCGGGCCCGGUUAGUACUUGGAUGGGAGACCGCCUGGGAAUACCAGGUGCCGUAAGCC
ensembl:rRNA 5S_rRNA 5S ribosomal RNA